rnacentral:lncRNA from 1 species
GCUACUGUGAACAAUUCCAACAGAUCAAAUCUAUAUAAAUCCUACUUUAGUUUCCCAAAGAUCCAAUAGUAGUGGUGCCUCAAACACUUAUAAAUUCCGUAGACAGCGCAUGCUUAUUUUCAUAAACCAACUGAAUCAUACCAAUAACUCAAAGUACUGAAUGCUAGACAGCACUCAAUUACCACGGGACUUGACAGCACCGAAUGCUUUAUCUCGAAAACCAACUUGAUUGGCACCAAGAAUGAGAAAAACAUAAGAGAUGCUACACAAAUAUUCUUCAUAGAGUAACAUCAAUAAUCGUUCUAAUUAAACCAAGUCCAAAGCUGACAAAAUCUUCAUUCAAAAACCCUCAAGACAAAUAAACAAACAAAUCAUCUUCAACAAUUAGUCUCAAGAGAAAAUCUCCUUACUAGUCAUCUUCCCCCAUUCCUCAUUGUUUUUUCAAAUCCAACGUGUUGAAACCACACAAAGAAUGAAGCUGAAAAACACAAUACAACAGAAUCAAUGAGGAACAAGAAAACAAAAAGGGUUAAAAAAUUCAUCAAAAAUGACAGAAAACAUUGCAGGAGAAAAAGGGUAUAUUUCAAAACAACCAAUACGUUCAAAUUUCAUCCUUGGCAUAAUAACAACAAUAACAUGCAAAACAGAUGUAAAAACAAAAACAAAAAAUGCAGAGCAGAAACUGGUUACCUCUUCCAUUGUUGAAAAACUUGAGAUUUAGGCAUGAAUUUUGAGCAUGGAAAUGAAAAGGGUACAUAGAUUAGGGAGAAAAUUGAAAAACCCAAAAGAAGAUUAGUGGAGAUAGAAUUUGGGUGUUUGGGAUUGAG